ensembl:lncRNA
CGCUGAAAUCCCCUUUGCAUGGCUUAAGGUAUAGGCUGGUGACCAGCAGAUGGCAAUCUGCGCCUGUCACAGAAUGCAGGGUUUUAAUGCAGGAGCUCUCGUGUACAACUUCCCUUGCUUAUUACAGUUUACUUGAAGGGCAAAAAGACCUGGAAAUCGUGGGCAGCCUUUGUUAGGUUCAGAAUGUCAGAAUCUGGAAAAGCACAGCUGAAGUUCUGCUUUAUGCAAAUCCCAGCCAGCAGCAUCUGUGAGAAGCAAGCUAACCUAACGGCAUAAAUUUGUGCUACUCUUUUUCAUUUUUAAGUACAGGACAGAUAAUUAUUUUACAUCAUUGUUGUGAUUUUGCUUCUGUGUGCUGCUAACCUUUUAAUGCACUCUUUAUAAAAAGAAAAUGUCUGUUUUCCCUGUACCCCAUGUUUUUCUCCUGGCGUUUAACAUGGAAUGCAAAAACGUGAUCUUCAGCUGAUUUAAAAAGAAGUCAAGGCACAAAAGAAAAGCAUUUUUCCUGCUAUAGUGAUAAAUCUGCCGUGCUAGAGUAAUGUGUCCAAGCAACAGUAUGAGAGUCUAGUUUAGCAUUUGAAUUGGAAUACAGAUGGCAUUAAGGCUAUUGCUGUGCAAUUUUGAUACACUUUUUUUUAUCGCAGAAGAGAAGAUUAAUGCUACUAAUUUCAGUUAUGUGAAAACUGUGAGCUGAUAAAGGACCUGGAUGCUUUUUAAAGCAAAUAUUAAUAGUAGAACGAGGAAUAUUCCUAUGCUGUGGUGGAAAUAAUUGUAUCCCAGGGUUCUGUCACUUUUCCAAACCUUUGUUGUGACCUGUUGACCUUAAGAUGAGAGGAGCAGUGGAAAGGCGAGAAUAACACGCACACAUAAAAAAAGGCAAGAGUCAUGACACCCAGUUCAGAGCACCAUUACUGUACAGAAAGAAAUGUAAGGAGAUAUUGGUUGGCUUUGAAUGGGGUGUAAAAUGCACCAGUAUUUCUCUUCAAAUUUGCUCCGGUGGGAAAUGCUUUUCAGCAUUUGAAUCAUUUUAAUGGUUGAGGUUGGAAAGGACCUCAAGAGAUCACCUGAUCCAACUCCCUGCUCAAGCAGAAAUGCGUACAGCUGAUUCCUUCGGACCAUGCCCAGUUUAAUAGGAAUAACUGCUUUCUACGCUGGAGUACACUCUGAAAGGAAGGAAGUCUUCCCAAAUGGUGAAAUUUUGAAGCUCUGCUACUGUCAGUACAGAGUAUGGAAUGAAUUACAGGUCUUGAAGAACAGGAGAGGUGCCUGAAGACUGAAAGAUAGCCAAUGUCACUCUGGUCUUCAAAAAGGGGAAGAACAGGGAUCUGGGAAACUGCAGACCAGUCAGCCUCACCUCUGUCCCUGGAAAGGUAAUGGAACAGCUUGUUCUAGAUGUUCUGGAUCUCAUCUCCAAGCAGUUGGAAGGGAAGAAAGUCAUCAGGAAUAGUCAGUGUGGAUUCACCAAGCGAAAAUCAUGCUUAACCAACCUCGUAACCUUCUAUUAUGGCAUCACCAGCUGGGUAGAUAGGGGAAGAUCAGUGGAUGUCAUCUACCUUAACUUCAGCAAGGCUUUUGACACCGUCUCCCACAAUAUACCCAAGUGACUGACAAACCUGAAGGCUGUGCACCAUUCAGCAAGAUGUGGACAGACUAGAGAGCUGGGCAACAAUAAACCAGAUGAGUUCUGUAUCCAGUUCUGCGCUCCCCGGUACAAGAAAGACAAGGAUCUCCUGGAGAGCCCAGCACAGGGUCAUGACGAUGAUAAAGGGCCUCAAGCAACUCCCUAUGAGGAAAGGCUUAGCUAACUGGGUCUGUUCAGCCUAGAGAAAAGAAGGCUCGGAGGGGAUCUGAUUAAUGUUUUUAAGUAUCUUAAGUGUGGGAGUCAGAGACAUGGUCAACCUCUUUUCAGCAGUCAGUGAGGACAGGACCAGGGGAAACAGCCAUAAACUGGAGCAUAGGAAGUUCCACACCAAUAUGCAAAGGAACUUCUUCACAGUAAGGGUGACGGAGCACUGGAGAGGUUGUGGAUUCUGCCCAGGGAAGUUGUGGAUUCGCCUUCUCUGGAGAUAUUCAAGACCAGCCUGGAUGCCUACCUGUGCAGCCUGCUUUGCAUGGGAGUUGGACUUGAUGAUCUCUGGAGAUCCCUUCCAGCCCCUACAAUUCUGUGAUUCUGUAAAAGCCACAUCUACAGUAUAUGCUUAUUUCUUACAAGUUUAUGUUUAACUGUAAACAUUAAAAUUCAUAAGUUUUUAUACAUUUAUACCUGUCCAUAAUAUUUUAAAUAUUAGAUAAUAUCUGAGGCAAUUAAAUGAAUUCAAGUGGCCUAAUCCUAUGGUGAAGUAAGCUGGUUUCUAAAUCCUGAAAAGAAUCGGACACUGGGAACCGAAUAAAGUUUUCAGUCAAUGUAUCAUUGAGUAGUUUUCAUCAAAAGAGGUAAAACCAAACCACUAGAUCAAUUAAAAUACAGAAUGGAGAAAAAUAUUUGCCUGGUGCUCAAACUCAUCUAUAAUUACUUUCAGGGUGCACAGUUUUCCUAUGACAGAAUCAAAUACUCAGAGAACAAUAAAAAAGUCAAUCUUGAAUCUUAUGAUAGGCAUUUCAUUUUAAAUAUUAAGCACAAAAUCAUUUGUGAAAUGAACCUUUUUCCAUUCUUCCUGUCCCUAGAAUUGUAAUGUGAAGGGAAUUAUAUCCCCUUUCUUCUUUGAAAUAGUGUGUAUUUUUAAAUCAGUGACAAAGACUGUCAUAACUUUGUUUUAUUAAUUUAUAACUUCCAGUAGGUAAGCAAUUACAAUAUGUUCUUAGAUUGCAUGGAUUUAUUUUUCUAUGUAAAUCCCCAAAGGCAGAGUUGCGGGCUCGCUUGUAUAUAUGUGUGUGUCUGUGUGUGUCAAACCAUGGUAAACUAGUUAUGUGAAUUAAAGCAGUGAAUUACAUAGUGAUGUAUGUUCUCUGCUGGACCAUUCCACACUGUUAGAGUUUGUUCAGUUUCAUUUAGGGAACCCUUUUAAAACCUCCAACAGAAAUCAGUGCACUAUUGAAACAGAUUUGCAGAUUUGUUUUAUGUUGAAAUUUAUUCCUUGAAUCUUGUUUUAAACUAAUUUUACUUCAUUUUUUCCCCCUUCCUCAGGCUUUCAAAGCAAAUUCUCUGUGAACUCGCAUAAGAAAUGCUAGAUAUUUAGAAACAUUAAUAUUGCAAAGACAUGUAACUCUCCUGCCAUGGCGAAAAGGCAUACAGAGAAAAACCAAUGAGCAGUACAGCUAAAACCUUUAGGUUCAUGUAAGUUUAAUUUACUCAGAAUUUUAUGACUUUAUGAAAAAAACAAUAGACAAAGGCAUCUUUUUUUUUCCUUUUUUUUUUUUUCCUCUCCCAUGUCUACAGGUAUUUUGGACUUCUAAGGUGUAAUGUAUUGGGUUAGGUUACUCACUUGUGCCUUCCUAAAGCCACUGGAACUAAUGGUAAGGAGGACAUUCGCAUGAAUGUAUGUGGGUCACCAUGUAGGUCUGUAUCUUUAUUCAUGUUGCCGUAAUCAGCAAUUCGUGUUUUUAGUGCCAUAUGGACAGCCAAAGUGGAUCGUCCUUGGGUAUCAUUUAUUAAAGAAGACAUUAGCAAAAAGGACUUUCAGGUUAUAGUGUAAGAGCUUAUAUAAAUCAUGGCUUUGAUUACUUUUUCUGCCCUUGGCAGCAUGAGAGACUAUUACAACUGAACAUGUUUUUUUUCUCCAUUUCCUCCCAAAUUUGGCACCAAAGAUGUUUUCAGUUUCUCUCUUGUUAGCAUAAUCAAUGCUAUGAGAUCUUCUGUCUUCAGAAAACUAUUAGUGGUGAGAAGAAUGAUAACAUUUUGUAUUCACACAGGCUACAUUGUGACAUAUUUAGUCCAUUUUGUAAAUUGUUCUUUUACCUAUAGCUCUUGGACUACCCCCAAAUUUAGUCAAUAUUGAUGCCCCCUUUGCCCGUUCAAUCUUAACCAGCCUGCAUUCUAACAUAUACGCAGACAAAAACAUCCAGUUAAAAAGGAUUUCACUGUAAGUAUUCAUCCUUAAAAAGAAUGUUGCUUUAUAAUAACAAGUAUCUUAUGUUUGAGAAAAAUGCAGUUUCCUUCGAUAAAUUAUCAGAAAUGAACCACCUUUUUCGUGAAGAGGUAUUUACUGAGGAUGUCACUGUUUCUUUCUAUCAGUUAAUGUGUAACCUAGGCUUUAAAGAGACAUGAAAUUUCAGCGUAGAAAGAAAUGUAAUUUCAGUGAUAUCAAAAUUUGUUGGAAACAACUGUUCUAAAAAGCGGAAUAUGUAGAAUGACAGUCCUUUGCUGAAGUUGAAAUUCAACAACAAGGAGUCUGAUUAGAGCUAAUUACUCUAAAGAUGUAUUGUCAGGAACUCUUGAAGGAGAUUUUUCUGAAACAUGAAAAACAGGAAGAAAUGAUUAAUUCCUUCAGCAAUAGGAAUGGGGGUAUUGGUGAGAUAUUAAUAAAGGAUUUAAUCUGUAUCUAAAUAGGCUUUUUAAAUGUUUAUUUUUAACAUUUAAUACAUGGAUUAAAACGUAGCUAACUGAAAUUAUCUCUUUUCUAUUCUGUGAAUAAUGACAGAUGCCAUUGCUAUACAACAGAAAUUACUCAGAUCGCAGUUGCUGAUGUUAUUGUACUCAAGCAUUUUUGAGGCAUUAAUAGGAAAGAACAGUGCUUCCAUCCAUAUGGAUUGUGUAUUAGACUAACAGUUAAAUGUUUAUUCUGCUCAUCACAUUUUUAGGAACAAUAUCAGGCAAAAUAGAAAGACUGAGAUGUGAGGACAGUGAGCUCUGGAGAAGCUGCACAUUACUUAGGCAGCUGAAGAGCUUUGUCUCUUGACACUAGGGUAUGAUAAAUGACAAAAUGAAAAGCCAUGUUAGAAAAUGUGAAAUUUCUUAUCUUCUAUCAAAACUGCAAAACAUUAACACAAGAAGAGCACAGACAUUCUAAUGUAUUGAAUUAACCCCCCCCAAGAGCCAAAAGCAAACAAUGUUUAACAAGGGUAAAUGUUAAAAUACAACCUGUAGUCUUCAUUAUUACAUCUUCAAAGACAUUUAGAAUCUCAUUGAUACGUCUCAAGUUUGUUUUUUUUUUUUUUAACUUUAUCAGCAAAAGACCUGAAAAUGCUAAAGAAGUAAAAGUGAAAAACAACUCUAUUUUUGGUAUUAAAUAAUAUCCAGUAUUAGAGCACAUCAGGUAGGCCAUAUGUUUCUGUGUGCAUGUAAUCAUAAUUAAAUAAUUAAAAUUCUGAUAUUCUUUAUUGCCACAGCAGUAAUAAAAGUAUGAAUUAAAGUAUAUUUUUAAUGUCAUGAGAGGGCUCUCGUUCAUUUUUACAGACAAAUUACUGUAUCUAAAAAUAGUAAAUAUAAUGUUUUUCCUCAAACACAAACUACCAAUGUAUUCCUACCUAUACGUUACCUGGGCAGGGCCGAGGGGGAGGGGGUGUGGAACACCAAAAAAACAACACAAAAACCCAAACCAAAACACGGUAGAAACAGGGCUUCCUCCCUGCCCCCCCCCCCAAUUUCUCUUACUUGUUAUGUUGGUGAAAACUAUUUUCCACUUUUUUUUUGUUCUGAAAACCAAAGAGUUUCUAGAAGAUAAAUCUAGUCUGUAAAUAGCAAGGAAACAACUAUGUCCCAGAUACAGUGAAAAGAAUUGUGUUAAAAUCUCCAUGAAAUCACCAUUAAAAAAAUAAAAACCAACCAAACAAAAAAAUCAAACAACAUCAACAACAAAAACAGUGUAUCCUACUCAUUGGCUCUAGCAGUAAAUCUCUAGUUAAGAUAUUAACCUGCCAAAAAAACUUAUAUUUUUCUUUAGAAAUUUAUCUGGUAAUGGGACCAUAGAUGGAAGUAUAUAAAACUUUAGUUAUGGAUCAGUUUGAAAUACAUAGCUUUAGUCAUGUAUUCUAUUUUUAUAUUUCAAUUGUAGACUCAACUUGAGAAUUUCAAGUCAUGACUUCUGAAGCUGAGGAUUUCUAUCAGUUAAUUUCUACUUCUAGAUACAAACUUCCAAUUUAAACUCUUAUUUUUCUUUUUCUCCUUGGAGUAAAUUUUAAACCAUUUUUAAGUUUUCCAGUGAACUAAAUAACGUGCAAAACACGUAUCUCCAGAAUCAGGAGAAAUGAAAACUACUGUGAUCUUGUUUUAAAUCAUUCUCAGUCUUGUGAAGAUCUAUACCAGUAGAGUUUUGUAUGUGUAAACCAUGAAAAUACCACUAGAUGGUGCUCAAGAACACAUCUAGUUCCUUGGAUUUGUUAACCGAACAGGCUGAAAGAUGCUGAGGAUUACAUUUACCACAGUUCCGUUAUUUAUAACGUCGUUUUUUCCAUGGUAAAUUACAGAAAUUACUGCAAAGUUCCUGG